GUAUAUAUUACGUAUGUCUUAUCAAAUAUUUUAAAAUAUCGUCAGUAUCAUUGUAAUAUUGUUCAGUAUACGUUCUGCAAGUUAUUCCGGAUUUGUAACAAUUAUUAAUAUUCAAAAGUCUUAGAAUAGGGAUGCUAUAGUUUAUUAAUCUUUUCAAAGUAAUUUACGCAUUAAAUAAUUAGUUAGGUGAAUUGGGAACUAUUUUUAACAUUCCCCAAACUCUAAAAUUCGUGGCACUUUUUUAAAUCCAAGUUCAAAUUAAAAAAAUCACACAAAUAUUCGGAUUAUAAUUAUACACAGGAGGCAGCAGGAGACAAGCGCGUACAUUUUCUUGGCUCUGUAUAUUAUUGUCGCACUAAUGAAGUUUCAUAUCUUUAUUAUAAAUCUUUUCAAUAUUGAAUGUACAUGAUUUGUAGUAAAUUUCGCCUUUUUUCCUUUUGAUCUCGCAACUAGUUACUUUACUCUACCUAUACUACGGUAGAAGUAUUAACACUUGGAUCCUCUGAAAAGUAAUUUAUCAAAUAUGUUGAAAAUGAAAAAAAUAGGUUAAAAAUUAUCGAUAGGAAAAAAUUAAUGAUUGGUGUUGGCGCGCUAAUUUAAGCUAAGAAUAUUUGUUUCUAAAAAUCUCCAAUGAAGUAUUGCGUCGUCGUAGAUAAUACUGUGACUUAGAAGGUUCCGACAGAAGCUAACUGUACGACUUGUGAUCUUCUACUUAGAAUAUUGUAUGCGAUCAAGGAGCAAGGCGGAUAUUGUUAUUUUACCAAGAAUAAAAGGAAUAUGAUAACCAGAAGAAACAACCGACAGCGAAGUCUCAGUCACGUACGCCCAACAAUACAGUAUCAGUCGUUGUAAAUGCGCACGAUGCGAUGAAGACAGAACUAUAAUUCACGUGAUUAAAGCUGCACUUUGAUCAUCUGUUUAGACUGCGUUGCCAUUAUCGUGAACGAUAUAUGUACUUCAUCGAACGUAUCGUUACAGACGCGGGUGCGGCAGAUUCGCGGGAAGUGCGUAGACGUAGAGCUUCUUAAUAAUUAAUUAAUUAAUAACUGGCAGGAUAAUAUUACGCAACAGAGAAAAAAGUCAUUUACUUUUGAGAAUUUCUCGUAAAAAGGACACCAUCUUUCUUAGACUCUUUGAUUGCUGUCCUUGAUACGAUUAACGAGUCGAUCAACGAAACAAUCAUAUGAUAUUAUCUUUGGCGUGGUGAGGUACAGAAUCAGGAUGAUGCACUGGAAAAAUCGGUGAAGGUCCUAAAACGAAUUCGUCAUUCUCGAAUGGAAAGGAGCGUCAGCUCCCAAAAAAGAAUGGGAGAACGGGUUGUACGUUGAAAAGACUAAAACAGUAUAGUUAUUGAGAAAAGGAAAUAUUGAACGGACCUGGUAUCGGAACGAAACAUCUUUUGCUGAGAAGACGCAGACUGCUUAACUUUGCCUAAACGUGAUUAUGUUAUAUUUAGAUAAUGCAAAUAAAUAAGAAUGUCUUCUAGAAACUUAGAAUAAUUUUAUAAGUAUUUAAUAUUUCACUAGUUGACGUAUUAGUUAUUUUGGAAAUUCUUUCGCUCAGCGUUACUAAGUACAUAGAUAUAUAUUUAUUAUUUCCAACUACAUUUAGUGAAAUAAUAUAACUUUGUCGUUUCAAUACUUAAACUACCAACUCUUAAUAUAAAUGACCAAUUUGUAAGUAUUUAUUUUGAUGGUUAUAACGAAAAUACGAGUACCAAUAUACGUAUACAAUUAGCCAAUUUGAA